CCGGCGACCGGCGCACGGGUGAGUAACACGUAUGCAACCUGGCCGUGACAGAUGGAUAACCGGGAGAAAUCCGGCCUAAUACAACAUAAUGCCGGGAGGGGACAUCCCCUGCCGGUCAAAGGGGGCGACCCCGGUCAUGGAUGGGCAUGCGGCGCAUUAGGUAGUUGGUGGGGCAACGGCCCACCAAGCCGACGAUGCGUAGGGGUUCUGAGAGGAAGGUCCCCCACAUUGGAACUGAGACACGGUCCAAACUCCUACGGGAGGCAGCAG
rnacentral:rRNA from 1 species